CAGGGAAUAGUUUAAAUAGAACAUUAG
rnacentral:tRNA from 2 species